CGAACGGGUGAGUAACGCGUGAGGAACCUGCCUCAAAGAGGGGGACAACAGUUGGAGACGACUGCUAAUACCGCAUAAGCCCACGGGUCGGCAUCGACCUGAGGGAAAAGGAGCAAUCCGCUUUGAGAUGGCCUCGCGUCCGAUUAGCUAGUUGGUGAGGUAACGGCCCACCAAGGCGACGAUCGGUAGCCGGACUGAGAGGUUGAACGGCCACAUUGGGACUGAGACACGGCCCAG
rnacentral:rRNA from 1 species